rnacentral:rRNA from 1 species
CCUAGCGGCAGACGGGUGAGUAACAUGUGGGAAUCUGCCCUUUGGUACGGAAUAACACGAGGAAACUUGUGCUAAUACCGGAUAAGCCCUUACGGGGAAAGUUUUAAUGCCAAAAGAUGAGCCCGCAUUUGAUUAGCUAGUUGGUGAGGUAAAAGCUCACCAAGGCGAUAAUCAAUAGCUGAUUUGAGAGGAUGAUCAGCCACAUUGGGACUGAGACACGGCCCAGACUCC